GAUGUUGUAGGGUCAGCUAUUGGUAGAUGUUGUAGGGUCAGGUGAUGGUAGAUGUUGUAGGGUCAGGCUAUGGUAGCUGUUGUAGGGUCAAGUUUUGGUAGAUGUUGUAGGGCCUGGUGAUGGUAGAUGUUGUAGGGCCAGGUGUUGGUAGAUGUAGGGUCAGGUGUUG